GCUCCUGCGGCUCAGGCAUGGCAGCUGUUUGGAAACAGGGGAGCCCUGACCCUGCCCUGAAAGCCAAGACAUUUUCUGAAACCUAUCCCCAUGUUUAACACGCAUGACAUCCUGAAGAUGCCGGCACCCAAAUCAGGAAGUCUUCCAUCUAAUCCAACUGUCCUUUUUCCUGUCUGAAGUGAUGGGCCAAACAUCUGUGCAGAAGGAGGCACAUCCUGGAGGAAGCAUUUCCCCAUGGGUAGCCCCUGCUGCAGGAAGGAAGGCGAUGCCAGACAUGGGCACAGGCACAGCAGAUGCAGCCAGCACCACAACACGUCUUCCCCAUGCCCAGGAAGGCCUCGGAAGUGUCUUCUAUAUGGGAACAGGCUGCUGGGCAGGGUUAAUGGCAGCCCUGCUUCUGUUGGACCUUACUCUCAUAUUGUUCUGUGUCAGAAUCUGGUGUAACUGGAAGAAGAAAUGGAGCACCUCUGGACAGGAGUUUAAAGACGGUGGCUGCACCUCACUCCCAGACAGUUUGAGCUGCUCCUCUGGCCGUCAUAAGGGCCUGGACAGCCCUCUCACCUGUUCUGUGAAGGGAACCCAAGAACAGCCAUCUACAAGGAAACCUCCUACUACCCUGUAGAUCCCACUGCCACCUGCUCUCCCCAUGGGUCUCCCCAAGAUGACUUCAUCCCUUUUUUGAUCUCCCUGCAUCCCAUCCCAGCCAAUUCUCAAGUUCUUCUGGAGACCCCAGGCCCAGCUGAGCACACUCCAGUCCCUCCUGAGACCAACACAUCCCUUCCUCUGCCCCUCAGCUCCCUGGCCUUGCCCUCUAAACAACACUGGAGUUAAGCCCUGCUGCCCCGCCAGGGUAGGCGAUGGCCCCUUCUUCUCUUGCACUACAGAGAUGGAGCUGUCACCCCAGUGUCUGGAGGUAGCAGCAGCAAAGCCCACCCGGCAGCAGCACUGGCUGAGCUCCGUGCCCAGGGGCAGCUGGGAAUGGCCAUGGUGUGGGCAGGCAGGAGCCAGGCAGGGGCUGCUGUGCCCAGCGGCGGGGCCCCGAGGGGAUGGGGGAGCCCGGGGGCAGGCAGCAGCAUGGGGCUCCUGAGAACAAGUGACACUAUUUUUCUUUGUUUUUCAUUUUUAGAAAUUUGACUUUUGAAAAAAUAUUUUAAAAUUUAUUUACUGUAGAGAGACAUCCCUAAAUAUUUAUUCCCGAGUAGUGUAGUAGUUAAGGACUUUACAAAAUAGUAUUAAAAUCCUGAAAAGGCAAACCUAUUUUUUCUUCACUUUUAAUUUUUAGAAAUAUUUAGAAAUAUUUUUUGUAGAGACAUAUCACCAAAAUAUUCAUCCCUUUUUCCAGAAUACAUUUGUAUUUUUAAAGUAGUUUUACAGUUCUGGAAAGUUUUUUACACUUAUACAAUAAAAAAUAAAAUGGCA